rnacentral:rRNA from 1 species
AAGCUCGUAGUUGAAUUUCGGGCCUGGCCGGGUGGUCUGCUUAACGGCAUGUACUGUCUGGCUGGGUCUUACCUCUUGGUGAGCCGGUGUGCCCUUUAUUGGUGUGCAUCGGGGAACCAGGACUUUUACCUUGAGAAAAUUAGAGUGUUCAAAGCAGGCUUAUGCCCGAAUACAUUAGCAUGGAAUAAUAAAAUAGGACGUGUGGUUCUAUUUUGUUGGUUUCUAGAGUCGCCGUAAUGAUUAAUAGGGAUAGUUGGG